AUAGAUACCCAGGUAGUCCACGCCCUAAACGAUGCGAACUGGAUGUUGGGUACAUUACGGUACUCAGUGUCGAAGCUAACGCGUUAAGUUCGCCGCCUGGGGAGUACGGUCGCAAGACUGAAACUCAAAGGAAUUGACGGGGGCCCGCACAAGCGGUGGAGUAUGUGGUUUAAUUCGAUGCAACGCGAGGAACCUUACCUGGCCUUGACAUCUGUCGAAUCCUGCAGAGAUGCGGGAGUGCCGCAAGGAACGACAAGACAGGUGCUGCAUGGCUGUCGUCAGCUCGUGUCGUGAGAUGUUGGGUUAAGUCCCGCAACGAGCGCAACCCUUGUCCCUAGUUGCCAGCACGUAAUGGUGGGAACUCUAGGGAGACUGCCGGUGACGAACCGGAGGAAGGUGGGGAUGACGUCAAGUCCUCAUGGCCCUUACGGCCAGGGCUACACACGUACUACAAUGGUCGGUACAGAGGGUUNCGAAGCCGCGAGGUGGAGCCAAGUCCCAGAAAACCGAUCCCAGUCCGGAUCGGAGUCUGC
rnacentral:rRNA from 1 species